UGGUUCUGGCAUNGAUGAAGAACGCAGCGAAAUGCGAUAAGUAAUGUGAAUUGCAGAAUCCAGUGAAUCAUCGAAUCUUUGAACGCACAUUGCGCCCUCUGGCAUUCCGGAGGGCAUACCUGUACGAGCGUCAUUACAACCCUCAAAGAUGACUCUUUGGCGUUGGGCGAUGCCUGGAGGCAUGCCCCAAAAUCAGCGAUGGCGGCCUUCGGCCACGGGCGCACAAACGUGUCCAGCGGCCGGACGUCGUCAGCCGAUUGACGAAUCUCCAAAUGUUGACCUCGGAUCAGGUAGGGAUACCCGCUGA
rnacentral:misc_RNA from 1 species